AUAUAAUUCUAGAAUGGGAGAACAUCAAAUUUUGAUCAACACCAAAUUUAUAACAUUAACAUAAAAAUUUGUGAUUCUUACAAAGUAUCAAGUGCGUCACUACGACACUACAUAAUAAUAUAAAAAAACAUGACGGAAAGUAACUAAGCUAAUUCGUUGGGAUAUAAUUAGCUUCUAGUCUUCAUCUCUUCCAUCUUCAUCAAUGUGUGGACUUGGAUAAUUCGUUUGGUCUUGAACCUAUGGAAAAAAAAUAUN
rnacentral:lncRNA from 1 species